rnacentral:rRNA from 1 species
UGGCUCAGAACGAACGUUUGCGGCGGGCUUAACACAUGCAAGUCGAACGAGAAUCCCGUUCGGGGAGGAAAGUGGCGCACGGGUGCGUAACACGUGGAUAACCAACCCAUUGGUUUGGGACAACACCGGGAAACUGGUGCUAAUACCAGAUGUGUCGCAGCUGUCUUCAGGCGGUUGCGAGAAAGGCCCGCAAGGGUCGCCAACGGACGGGUCCGCGUCCCAUCAGCUAGUUGGUGAGGUAAUGGCUCACCAAGGCAAAGACGGGUAGCUGGUCUGAGAGGAUGAUCAGCCACACUGGAACUGAGACACGGUCCAGACUCCUACGGGAGGCAGCAGUGGGGAAUAUUGCGCAAUGGGCGAAAGCCUGACGCAGCCACGCCGCGUGAGCGAUGAAGGUCUUCGGAUCGUAAAGCUCUGUGGAGGGAGAAGAAGAAAGCCGGUGAAGAGCCGGCCCUGACGGUAUCCCCUUAGCAAGCACCGGCUAACUCCGUG